rnacentral:rRNA from 1 species
CGGCGUGCUUCAUACAUGCAAGUCGAACGAGAAUCUGGUGCUUGCACCAGAGGAAAGUGGCGGACGGGUGAGUAAUAUGUAGGAAAUCUGCCCUAGAGAGGGGACAACAGAGGGAAACUUCUGCUAAUACCCCAUAUGAGCGUACCUGAGAUGGUAUUCUUGAAAACUCCGGUGCUCUAGGAUGAGCCUGCAUCUGAUUAGCUUGUUGGCGGUGUAAUGGACCACCAAGGCGACGAUCAGUAGCUGGUUUGAGAGGAUGAUCAGCCACAAUGGGACUGAGACACGGCCCAUACUCCUACGGGAGGCAGCAGUAGGGAAUUUUGCGCAAUGGGCGAAAGCCUGAACCGCAGCAACGCCGCGUGUGUGAUGACGCCCUUCGGGGUGUAAAACACUGUCAGUAGGGACGAAACUUGACGGUACCUACAGAGGAAGCACCGGCUAACUCCGUGCCAGCCGCGGC